CUCCUCCGCUCCUCCCACCCGGCUUCGGAGUGGUGCCCGCGCCUGCCUAGGAGCGCAGGCACUCGCAGUUGAUGAUGAGCCAUUGGACACUUGGGAGGCUGAGGCAAGAGGAUCAGGAGUUCAAGAACAUCCUUGGCUACACAGCAAGUCCUAGGCCAGCCUAGGCUAUUUAAGAGCCCAUCUCAGAGUGUAGGUGGGACAGAGACAUAUCAGUUCCAGCCUGUGUUCAUUCCUUUUUCUCUAAACAGAGGAACUUCCUGAAUGGAGCUUCAUAGUGGAAGUCACCUAAGUGGACCCUUUGAAGUCACCAAUACUUACUAUCAUUCCUAUAGAAUUCUAAGUUCAUCUUAAACCUACCUUCCUGCAUCCCUGAACAAGAAGGAGCAAGUAAUUGUUGAAGAGAUGGAAAAGAAGAGGAGGAGAACAGAGUUGCUUUACAGGCUUUGUAGCCAGUCAGCAGAAUGCUUGCCUUACAUUCAUGAAACUCUGGGUUUGAUCCUCAGCACAGAAAAAAAAAAAAAAAAAAA